AGACGUUAUUUGCAAACCAAUAUAUUUUCCGACGGAACAAGGAACAUAAUGAUUGCACGGAUGGAUACAAUUAUUCAAGUUACUGCAGUUACUACUGCAAAUCUGGAUUGCAGAGAUGGGGAGCAAAGAAAGUAGUUUGUCUUUGGACAGGAGAAUUGUCGGAAGAACCACCUACUUGAAAAAAAUAUGAUCCUAAAUGUCCUGCUGCUCACAAACAGACUUCAUGUCCUGACACAAACUGUGCAGUCAAUGCUGAUUGCAAUGACGACAAGAAGCUUUGUUGUCCUACAAAAUGUGGAACGUCUGUUUGUUGAGAUUUACCGAAACGAACAAUCUCCAGAGGUUGGAUUAUUUUCCAAAUGCAUUCUCUUGAAAGUUUCAAUUUGUGAUAAAACCAUUUCAAAAGAAAUUGCCAUUUAUGUUUUAAGGUUUAUUCUAACCUAAUUAAAAAUAAAUUUCAUAAAGGCUUACAGGCCCUGUAUCUCAUUGAACAACCUACAACAAAUAAACUGGGGCGAACAGCCUGAAACUCACCAAAUCAGACCAAAACAUCCCAAGCCGCAUCGCUGCGAACCGCGGCUUAAGCUAGCUAAACUGCAUAAGACCGAGGGGCUGUGCUCUGGCGCCAUCUGUGUUCCAAAUUGUAAAAUACAAUUUCCAACAACAAGACAAAAUAUUGAUGUUUCAUUCAAGUUAUUAUGAAAUUUAUGAGUUUUAUUGGUCACCCCGUUCAAAAUUUUAGAAUAUUUUUUUACUGAUAAUGCCUUAUUUCAAAUGACUUUAUUGAUAUAUUUCCGCAAUGGACCUUUCCCCGAGCAUCGACUUC